rnacentral:rRNA from 1 species
AUACGGAGGGUGCAAGCGUUAUUCGGAAUCACUGGGCGUAAAGGACGCGUAGGCGGGUUGGCAAGUCAGAUGUGAAAUCCUACAGCUUAACUUUAGAACUGCAUUUGAAACUGCUAACCUAGAGUAUGGGAGGGGGAGAUGGAAUUAGUGGUGUAGGGGUAAAAUCCGUAGAUAUCACUAGGAAUACCGAAAGCGAAGGCGAUCUCCUGGAACAUAACUGACGCUAAGGCGUGAAAGCGUGGGGAGCAAACAGGAUUAGAUACCCUAGUAGUCC